GCUGGAGGGACGCGGGCCCUCGCCCCCGAAAGUCAGCCUGCCACCUUCCCCGAGUCUCCCCGCUCCUCUUUCUCCUCGGAGCCCCUCUCCACCGCCCUGUCCCAGCUGGGCACCGGCCUUCCUAGGAGUUCUCCAUAGAAGGAAGCCCAGCAGAGGAGCGAAACCGAGAACCCCGAGGCUGGGGGGUGGGGCAGAGGUGGAGGCUGGGCAUGCUCAAACUGGAGGACCCAUCACAAACCCGCCCUGCUGCGACCCUCCUCCCUCCCUACGCCAUCCCCUCUCCAAAUCAAGCCUGACUUUUGGAUGGCCUAGAAGAAGGACCAAAGGAAAAGAAGUUUCUAGGGGAGCCUUCGGUACGGUGGAAACUCUGCAGGCCUGGAGGAGGGCGCCUAAUAGCCGCAAGGGCCUCACUUUUCUCCGGGGACAGAAAUGAAAAGUCCCGCUGGGAAAGGAGAUACCAUCUUGAUCUCUGUGGGAAUGGAGCAGGUAGCAACACUCGUGCUCCUGUUGGGUGAUAAACGGGUGUGUCAAGGCAGAGGGAGGCGGGCGCUAAACCUCCCCGAGGUCAUCUCCACCUCCAGCACAGCAUCAUGGGAGAAGUCAGAGCUGAGGACCAAACCCAGGGCCUUGGGCAAGCACUCUAC